rnacentral:rRNA from 1 species
GAUGAACGCUGGCGGCGUGCCUAAUACAUGCAAGUCGAGCGAACAGACGAGGAGCUUGCUCCUCUGACGUUAGCGGCGGACGGGUGAGUAACACGUGGAUAACCUACCUAUAAGACUGGGAUAACUUCGGGAAACCGGAGCUAAUACCGGAUAAUAUAUUGAACCGCAUGGUUCAAUAGUGAAAGACGGUUUUGCUGUCACUUAUAGAUGGAUCCGCGCCGCAUUAGCUAGUUGGUAAGGUAACGGCUUACCAAGGCAACGAUGCGUAGCCGACCUGGGAGGGGGAUCGGCCACGCUGGAACUGGGACACGGUCCAGACUCCUACGGGGGGCAGCAGUAGGGAAUCUUCCGCAAUGGGCGAAAGCUUGACGGAGCAACGCCGCGUGGGUGAUGAAGGUCUUCGGAUCGUAAAACUCUGUUAUUAGGGAAGAACAAAUGUGUAAGUAACUAUGCACGUCUUGACGGUACCUAAUCAGAAAGCCACGGCUAACUACGUG